rnacentral:rRNA from 1 species
UCGCGGCGGUGUGCGCAGAAGGGUCUGGGCUCGAGCCUGCCUGGAGCCGCCGCCGGUGCAGAUCUUGGUGGUAGUAGCAAAUACUCCAGCGAGGCCCUGGAGGACUGAUGUGGAGAAGGGUUUCGUGUGAACAGCCGUUGCACACGAGUCAGUCGACCCUAAGCCCUAGGAGAAAUCCGAUAUAAACGGCGAUGGGAAACAUGACUCUGUCGAAAGAAAGAAAAAGACGAAAGCCCAUUGAUCGGGCGAAAGGGAAUCCGGUUCCUAUUCCGGAACCCGGCAGCGGAACCGUUGUUUGUCGGGCCCUCACAAGGGGUUCGUCAGGGCAACCUAAAAGGGCCCGGAGACGCCGUCGGGAGCCCCGGAAAGAGUUUUCUUUUCUGCAUGAGCGUUCGAGUUCCCUGGAAUCCUCUCGCAGGGAGAUAGGGUUUGGAACGCGAAGAGCACCGCAGUUGCGGCGGUGCCCGGGAAUUCCCGACGGACCUUGAAAAUCCGGGAGAGGGCCACGUGGAGGUGUCGCGCCGGCUCGUACCCAUAUCCGCAGCAGGUCUCCAAGGUGAAGAGCCUCUAGUC